AUUAACAGAGGUCGAGAACCUCAAAAUUUAAU
rfam:Flavobacterium sp. 40-81 scnpilot_p_inoc_scaffold_63, whole genome shotgun sequence.